AGCUCCAAUAGCGUAUAUUAAAGUUGUUGCAGUUAAAAAGCUCGUAGUUGGAUUUCUGGGUCGCUGGAUGGCCCCCCUCCUCACGGAGGGUGCUGGCCGACUCCUAGCGUCCCAUCCUCGGGUGGGUCCUGCUUGGCAUUAGGUUGUUGGGCAGGGGAAGCCCGUCUUUUACUGUGAAAAAAUUAGAGUGUUCAAAGCAGGCUUAGGCCGUUGAAUACAUUAGCAUGGAAUAAUGAGAUAGGGCCUUGAUGGAUUUUUCUAUUUUGUUGGUUUGCACGCCAAGGCAAUGAUUAACAGGGACAGUUGGGGGUAUUCGUAUUCAGUUGUCAGAGGUGAAAUUCUUGGAUUUUUUGAAGACGAACUACUGCGAAAGCAUUUACCAAGGAUGUUUUCA
rnacentral:rRNA from 1 species